UACGGAGGGUGCGAGCGUUGUCCAGAAUCACUGGGCGUAAAGGGCGCGUAGGCGGCGCGGGCAGUCAACGGUGAAAGCUUGGGGCUCAACCCCGAGUCGGCCGUCGAUACUCCCGGGCUGGAGCACUGUAGAGGCAGGUGGAAUUCCGGGUGUAGCGGUGGAAUGCGUAGAGAUCCGGAAGAACACCGGUGGCGAAGGCGGGUCUCUGGGCCGAUACUGACGCUGAGGAGCGAAAGCGUGGGGAGCAAACAGG
rnacentral:rRNA from 1 species